AUGAUGGCUAAACUCAUCAUUCAUCAUCGCCAGCAUAAUACAAUGAACUGUAGUUCAGUCAUUAAGCCACUUCUGAUAAGUGUCUCUGACUGUGCUACGCAUAUUCAAAGCUGGCUCCUCGGGUGCUGGAUCUAUCAAUACAUACAAGAUCCGUUUGUGCUCUAGGAUUAUUUUGAGCUUUCGAUACUAGCUAUCAAAAUUUGAUCCUAUCAAUUUAUCAUUAUCUAAUAGUGAUUGGAGCGACA
rnacentral:lncRNA from 1 species